rnacentral:rRNA from 1 species
GACGAACGCUGGCGGCGUGCCUAAUACAUGCAAGUUGAGCGAUGAAGAUUGGUGCUUGCCCCAAUUUGAAGAGCAGCGAACGGGUGAGUAACGCGUGGGGAAUCUGCCUUUGAGCGGGGGACAACAUUUGGAAACGAAUGCUAAUACCGCAUAACAACUUUAAACAUAAGUUUUAAGUUUGAAAGAUGCAACUGCAUCACUCAAAGAUGAUCCCGCGUUGUAUUAGCUAGUUGGUGAGGUAAAGGCUCACCAAGGCGAUGAUACAUAGCCGACCUGAGAGGGUGAUCGGCCACAUUGGGACUGAGACACGGCCCAAACUCCUACGGGAGGCAGCAGUAGGGAAUCUUCGGCAAUGGACGAAAGUCUGACCGAGCAACGCCGCGUGAGUGAAGAAGGUUGUCGGAUCGUAAAACUCUGUUGGUAGAGAAGAACGUUGGUGAGAGUGGAAAGCUCAUCAAGUGACGGUAACUACCCAGAAAGGGACGGCUAACUACGUG